rnacentral:rRNA from 1 species
UUUUAUGAGAGUUUGAUCCUGGCUCAGGACGAACGCUGGCGGCGUGCCUAAUACAUGCAAGUCGAACGCUUCUUUUUCCACCGGAGCUUGCUCCACCGGAAAAAGAGGAGUGGCGAACGGGUGAGUAACACGUGGGUAACCUGCCCAUCAGAAGGGGAUAACACUUGGAAACAGGUGCUAAUACCGUAUAACAAUCGAAACCGCAUGGUUUUGAUUUGAAAGGUGCUUUCGGGUGUCGCUGAUGGAUGGACCCGCGGUGCAUUAGCUAGUUGGUGAGGUAACGGCUCACCAAGGCCACGAUGCAUAGCCGACCUGAGAGGGUGA